rnacentral:rRNA from 1 species
CGGCCGCGGUAUCCUAACCGUGCGAAGGUAGCGUAAUCACUUGUUCUUUAAAUGUGGACUAGUAUGAAUGGCACCACGAAGGUUAUACUGUCUCCUUUUUCCAAUCAGUGAAACUAAUCUCCCCGUGAAGAAGCGGGGAUAAAACUAUAAGACGAGAAGACCCUAUGGAGCUUUAAACAAUAUAGCACUUGCCACAAAAAGUAAAAAUUUCCUAAUUACUAAAUUUUCAAAGCAACAUGACUAUGAGUUUUUGGUUGGGGUGACCGCGGAGCAUAAUACAACCUCCAUGCUGGAAGAAUCUCUUUCUAAGCUAAGAACUACUCAUCUAAGCAUCAACAUAUUGACAUCCAUUGACCCAAUAUACUUGAACAACGAACCAAGUUACCCUAGGGAUAACAGCGCAAUCCACUUCAAGAGCUCCUAUCGACAAGUGGGUUUACGACCUCGAUGUUGGAUCAGGGUUCCCCAGUGGU